rnacentral:rRNA from 1 species
CUAGAGGGGAUCCAGAUCUCCUACGGGAGGCAGCAGUGGGGAAUAUUGCACAAUGGAGGGAACUCUGAUGCAGCGACGCCGCGUGAGUGAAGAAGGUCUUCGGAUCGUAAAACUCUGUCCUUGGUGAAGAAAAGGACGGUAGCCAAGGAGGAAGCCCCGGCUAACUACGUGCCAGCAGCCGCGNUAAUAAGCGUGAUUCG